GAUGAACGCUGGCGGCGUGCUUAACACACGCAAGUCGAGCGAAGCACUUAUGAAAGAUUCUUCGGAUGAAUUCAUUUGUGACUGAGCGGCGGACGGGUGAGUAACGCGUGGGUAACCUGCCUCAUACAGGGGGAUAACAGUUGGAAACGACUGCUAAUACCGCAUAAGCGCACAGUACCGCAUGGUACAGUGUGAAAAACUCAGGUGGUAUGAGAUGGACCCGCGUCUGAUUAGCUAGUUGGUGGGGUAACGGCCUACCAAGGCGACGAUCAGUAGCCGACCUGAGAGGGUGACCGGCCACAUUGGGACUGAGACACGGCCCAAACUCCUACGGGAGGCAGCAGUGGGGAAUAUUGCACAAUGGGGGAAACCCUGAUGCAGCAACGCCGCGUGAGUGAAGAAGUAUUUCGGUAUGUAAAGCUCUAUCAGCAGGGAAGAAAAUGACGGUACCUGACUAAGAAGCCC
rnacentral:rRNA from 1 species